CACAUAGACACAAAGACACAUGCCCCCCCACACACAUACAGAGGCCCCCCCACACACACCUACAUAUGCCUCAUACACAUAGACACAAAGACACAUGCCCCCCCACACACACCUACAUACGCCUCAUACACAUAGACACAAAGACACAUGCCCCCCCACACACACAGAGGCCCCCCACACACACCUACAUACGCCUCAUACACAUAGACACAAAGACGCAUGCCCCACACACACACCUACAUACGCCUCAUACACAUAGACACAAAGACGCAUGCCCCACACACACACCUACAUACGCCUCAUACACAUAGACACAAAGACACAUGCCCCCCACACACACCUACAUAUGUCUCAUACACAUAAACACAAAGACACAUGCCCACACAUACACACCUACAUAUGUCUCAUACACAUAGACACAAAGAUGCAUGCCCCCCACACACACCUACAUACACCUCAUACACAUAGACACAAAGACACAUGCCUCCCCACACCCACAGAGGCCCCCACACCUACAUACACCUCACCACAUAUGCCUCAUACACAUAGACACAAAGACACAUGCCACCCCCCACACAGAGGCCCCCAUACCUACAUACACCUCAUACACAUAUACACAAAGACACAUGCCCCCCCCCACACACACACAGACACUCACUAAUUAGCCCAAGAACGCCCAGGCUGUCCGUACAGAGAAGGUGCAGGCCUUUUGCCUGUGAGCUUUGGCUUUCCGGAUACCAACUACUAUCCAUGCUACCCUGGAAGAUGAAGGGACACAAUGAGCUCCCCAUGAAUAUAGAAGAAGGGGGAGCCCUCCCUCUCCUACUCCACUCUUCUGCCCCUCACUUGAGACGCCCAGCAAAGUCUAAGAUCUUGGAUCUCUUCCAUCAUCGGCUGAGGAUGAAAGGGAUACAUAGAAAUGAUAGGGAAUGGCAACAUGUCCCUGUGACCUCGGCCACUGCUAUCACAGGCCUCCCCUGAACCCCACUCAUUAUCCCGCUGAUCCUUCUGAAUGCUCUUUGUUUACUUUUAGUCUCGAUGUCACCCAGAGGUAUCAGAUCACAGCAAAGCCUGGGAGAAAAUG
rnacentral:lncRNA from 1 species